rnacentral:rRNA from 1 species
CCUACGGGUGGCUGCAGUGGGGAAUAUUGGACAAUGGGGGCAACCCUGAUCCAGCCAUGCCGCGUGUGUGAAGAAGGCCCUCGUGUUGUAAAGCACUUUCAGUGAGGAAGAACGCCUGGUGGUUAAUACCCAUCAGGAAAGACAUCACUCACAGAAGAAGCACCGGCUAACUCCGUGCCAGCAGCCGCGGUAAUACGGAGGGUGCGAGCGUUAAUCGGAAUUACUGGGCGUAAAGCGCGCGUAGGUGGCUUGAUAAGCCGGUUGUGAAAGCCCCGGGCUCAACCUGGGAACGGCAUCCGGAACUGUCAAGCUAGAGUGCAGGAGAGGAAGGUAGAAUUCCCGGUGUAGCGGUGAAAUGCGUAGAGAUCGGGAGGAAUACCAGUGGCGAAGGCGGCCUUCUGGACUGACACUGACACUGAGGUGCGAAAGCGUGGGUAGCAAACAGGAUUAGAUACCCCUGUAGUC